GUACUGCUGAAGAGUCUAAAACUAGGUUGGCGAAACAGCUGUCCAGUAC
rfam:Trichobilharzia regenti genome assembly, scaffold: TRE_scaffold0120400